UAAUGAACUACAAGAAUUUAAGGUCUACCA
rnacentral:piRNA from 1 species